rnacentral:rRNA from 1 species
AUUGAACGCUGGCGGCAUGCUUUACACAUGCAAGUCGAACGGUAACAGGGAGCUUGCUCCGCUGACGAGUGGCGAACGGGUGAGUAAUGCGUCGGAACGUGCCGAGUAGUGGGGGAUAACGCAGCGAAAGUUGUGCUAAUACCGCAUACGUACUGAGGUAGAAAGUGGGGGACCUUCGGGCCUCACGCUAUUCGAGCGGCCGACGUCUGAUUAGCUAGUAGGUGAGGUAAAGGCUCACCUAGGCGACGAUCAGUAGCGGGUCUGAGAGGAUGAUCAGCCACACUGGGACGGGGACACGGCCCAGAGUCCUACGUGAGGCAGCAGUGGGGAAUUUUGGACAAUGGGCGAAAGCCUGAUCCAGCCAUGCCGCGUGUCUGAAGAAGGCCUUCGGGUUGUAAAGGACUUUUGUCCGGGAGCAAAUGCCUGGUGUUAAUAGCAUCGGGAGCUGAGAGUACCGGAAGAAUAAGCACCGGCUAACUACGUGCCAGCAGCCGCCGUAACAC